rnacentral:rRNA from 1 species
CGAGAAGCUUGCUUUUCUGAUGUUAGCGGCGGACGGGUGAGUAACACGUGGAUAACCUACCUAUAAGACUGGGAUAACUUCGGGAAACCGGAGCUAAUACCGGAUAAUAUUUUGAACCGCAUGGUUCAAAAGUGAAAGACGGUCUUGCUGUCACUUAUAGAUGGAUCCGCGCUGCAUUAGCUAGUUGGUAAGGUAACGGCUUACCAAGGCAACGAUGCAUAGCCGACCUGAGAGGGUGAUCGGCCACACUGGAACUGAGACACGGUCCAGACUCCUACGGGAGGCAGCAGUAGGGAAUCUUCCGCAAUGGGCGAAAGCCUGACGGAGCAACGCCGCGUGAGUGAUGAAGGUCUUCGGAUCGUAAAACUCUGUUAUUAAGGAAGAACAUAUGUGUAAGUAACUGUGCACAUCUUGACGGUACCUAAUCAGAAAGCCACGGCUAACUACGUGCCAGCAGCCGCGGUAAUACGUAGGUGGCAAGCGUUAUCCGGAAUUAUUGGGCGUAAAGCGCGCGUAGGCGGUUUUUUAAGUCUGAUGUGAAAGCCCACGGCUCAACCGUGGAGGGUCAUUGGAAACUGGAAAACUUGAGUGCAGAAGAGGAAAGUGGAAUUCCAUGUGUAGCGGUGAAAUGCGCAGAGAUAUGGAGGAACACCAGUGGCGAAGGCGACUUUCUGGUC